rnacentral:rRNA from 1 species
GUAGUGCCUCGUGUCUCACCUUCGGGGGUAGAGCACUGUCAUGGUUGGGGGGUCUAUUGCAGAUUACCCCGCCAUAGCAAACUCCGAAUACCGAAGAGUGCAAUCACGGGAGACAGACAUCGGGUGCUAACGUCCGGUGUCAAGAGGGAAACAACCCAGACCGCCAGCUAAGGUCCCCAAAUAUGGCUAAGUGGGAAACGAAGUGGGAAGGCUAAAACAGUCAGGAGGUUGGCUUAGAAGCAGCCACCCUUUAAAGAAAGCGUAAUAGCUCACUGAUCGAGUCGUCCUGCGCGGAAGAUGUAACGGGGCUAAGCCAUAUACCGAAGCUGCGGAUGCGAGCUUGCUCGCAUGGUAGGAGAGCGUUCCGUAAGCCUGCGAAGGUGUCUUGUAAAGGAUGCUGGAGGUAUCGGAAGUGCGAAUGCUGACAUGAGUAGCGAUAAAGGGGGUGAAAGGCCCCCUCGCCGUAAGCCCAAGGUUUCCUACGCAACGUUCAUCGGCGUAGGGUGAGUCGGCCCCUAAGGCGAGGCAGAAAUGCGUAGCUGAUGGGAAGCAGGUCAAUAUUCCUGCACCAUUGUUAGAUGCGAUGGGGGGACGGAUCGCGGAAGGUUGUCCGGGUGUUGGAUGUCCCGGUCGCUGCAUUGGAGAAGGCGCUUAGGCAAAUCCGGGCGCAGGAUUCAAGGGUGUGGCGCGAGCGACUUCGGUCGCGAAGCAAUUGGAAGUGGUUCCAAGAAAAGCCUCUAAGCUUCAGUCUAACGAUGACCGUACCGCAAACCGACACAGGUGGGCGAGAUGAGUAUUCUAAGGCGCUUGAGAGAACUCGGGAGAAGGAACUCGGCAAAUUGGUACCGUAACUUCGGGAUAAGGUACGCCCUUGUAGCUUGACUGGCCUGCGCCAGAAGGGUGAAGGGGUUGCAAUAAACUGGUGGCUGCGACUGUUUAAUAAA